rnacentral:rRNA from 1 species
GAUGAACGCUGGCGGCGUGCCUAAUACAUGCAAGUCGAGCGAACAGAUGAGGAGCUUGCUCCUCUGACGUUAGCGGCGGACGGGUGAGUAACACGUGGAUAACCUACCUAUAAGACUGGGAUAACUUCGGGAAACCGGAGCUAAUACCGGAUAAUAUAUUGAACCGCAUGGUUCAAUAGUGAAAGACGGUUUUGCUGUCACUUAUAGAUGGAUCCGCGCCGCAUUAGCUAGUUGGUAAGGUAACGGCUUACCAAGGCGACGAUGCGUAGCCGACCUGAGAGGGUGAUCGGCCACACUGGAACUGAGACACGGUCCAGACUCCUACGGGAGGCAGCAGUAGGGAAUCUUCCGCAAUGGGCGAAAGCCUGACGGAGCAACGCCGCGUGAGUGAUGAAGGUCUUCGGAUCGUAAAACUCUGUUAUUAGGGAAGAACAAAUGUGUAAGUAACUAUGCACGUCUUGACGGUACAUAAUCAGAAAGCCACGGCUAACUACGUG